AUUGAACGCUGGCGGCAGGCCUAACACAUGCAAGUCGAGCGAGCGGCGGAAGGGUGAGUAAGGUAUGGGGAUCGGCCUGAUGGAGGGGGAUAACUAAUGGAAACGGGAGCAAAUACAGCAAUCCAUCAGCUGAACUCAUAGGGGAUUAGCAGGUAGGUGAGGUAACGGCUCACCGAGGCGACGAUCCCUAGCUGGUCUGAGAGGAUGAUCAGCCACACUGGGACUGAGACACGGCCCAGACUCCUACGGGAGGCAGCAGUGGGGAAUAUUGCACAAUGGGCGCAAGCCUGAUGCAGCCAGGCCGCGUGUAUGAAGAAGGCCUUCGGGUUGUAAAGUACUUUCAGUCGGGAGGCGUUACCGACAGAAGAAGCACCGGCUAACUCCGUGCCAGCAGCCGCGGUAAUUC
rnacentral:rRNA from 1 species